rnacentral:tRNA from 1 species
GCGAGAGUAGUACAGUGGUAGUACAUUUGCUUCCCAAGCAAGUAACGCGGGUCCGAUUCCCGUCUCUCGCU